UAACAAAUGAAAAAAGAAAAAAUGAUAGAAAUAAAUGAUAAAUCAAAAAAAGAAAAAUAUGAAAAAAAGGGAAAAAAAAAUAUAGAAAUAAACAAAAAAAGAAAAAAAAUUAAAAAGAAAAUACAAAAAAAUACAUUAUGAUAAAUGGAAAACAAAACUGAAAAUGAAAACGUAAGCUUCCUAGAUGAUUUUAAACACGGAAUGAGAAUUUAAGAAUAAAAUAGCUUUCUAACGGAUAUUACACAAUAUCUGUAAAUCGAAAUGAAUAACCAGGGAUAUUACACAAUAUCUGUACAUCGAAUUGAAUAACUGAGAACCAACUUUCUAACGGAUAUUACACAAUAUCUGUAAAUCGAAAUGAAUAACCAGGGAUAUUACACAAUAUCUGUACAUCAAAUUGAAUAACUGAAAACCAACUUUCUAACGGAUAUUACACAAUAUCUGUAAAUCGAAUUGAAUAACCAGGGAUAUUACACAAUAUCUGUACAUCGAAUUUAAUAACUGAGAACCAA